AGGACUAUACUUUCAGGGAUCAUUUCUAUAGUUUUUUUUACUUAGAAAUGUGUUUCGUAAGUGUUUGUUUCCCAAACCACGAUGAUGAGCUUAUAUGCUUCUUUUAGAGCGUGAAUCUGGCAUGUAGUAGUGAUUCGAUUUCACAUGCUUUGUGCAGUUGAUGAAUGUUCUUUAUUGCUUUUGGCGAUAUUGAGGAAAGUAGCAUGAUCUAAGUGGC